UACGUAGGGUGCGAGCGUUGUCCGGAAUUAUUGGGCGUAAAGAGCUCGUAGGCGGUCUGUCGCGUCUGCUGUGAAAUCCCGAGGCUCAACCUCGGGCUUGCAGUGGGUACGGGCAGGCUAGAGUGCGGUAGGGGAGAAUGGAACUCCUGGUGUAGCGGUGGAAUGCGCAGAUAUCAGGAAGAACACCGGUGGCGAAGGCGGGUCUCUGGGCCGAUACUGACGCUGAGGAGCGAAAGCGUGGGGAGCGAACAGG
rnacentral:rRNA from 1 species